GGCCUCCUGGUGCUUACCUCAGCCAGAGACAAAGUGAACCUACCCCAUAUAUACCUCAGCCCAGGCCCUGACCUGGUCUAUAUUGUAAAUGGGGAGACAUGC
rnacentral:snoRNA from 1 species